CCUACGGGUGGCAGCAGUGGGGAAUAUUGGACAAUGGGCGAAAGCCUGAUCCAGCCAUGCCGCGUGUGAGAAGAAGGCCUUCGGGUUGUAAAGCACUUUCAGUGGGGAAGAAAGCCUUGGGGCUAAUACCCUCGAGGAAGGACAUCACCCACAGAAGAAGCACCGGCUAACUCCGUGCCAGCAGCCGCGGUAAUACGGAGGGUGCGAGCGUUAAUCGGAAUUACUGGGCGUAAAGCGCGCGUAGGCGGUCUGAUAAGCCGGUUGUGAAAGCCCCGGGCUCAACCUGGGAACGGCAUCCGGAACUGUCAGGCUAGAGUGCAGGAGAGGAAGGUAGAAUUCCCGGUGUAGCGGUGAAAUGCGUAGAGAUCGGGAGGAAUACCAGUGGCGAAGGCGGCCUUCUGGACUGACACUGACGCUGAGGUGCGAAAGCGUGGGUAGCAAACAGGAUUAGAUACCCUGGUAGUC
rnacentral:rRNA from 1 species